UCCUCUCUUCAGCUCCAUUUCAUCUUCCAUCUAGCUCCAUUAACUUGAGACUAAAAUGACACAGCUCCAUCUGCAGUCUCUGACACCCACCUGCAAAGCAUCCACCUCCAGGAAGAAAAAUCCACCUUCCUUCUAUACCGACCACCUCUGACAUCAAGAAACUAAAUCCACCUUCAGCCUCCACCUUCUCGCACCACCCUUAAGCUCCACCUGCAGUCUCUGCCAUCAACCUGCAAAGCAUCCACCUCCAGGAAGAAACAUCCACCUUCAACCUCCACCUGCUGCUUUUACCAUCCACCUGCAGAAAAUUCCAGCCUCACCUCCUUCUGCAGUCUCCUCC